UUCCGUUUCGUCUAAUGGGCAGGACAUCGGUCUUUGAAUCCGAUAAUGGAAGUUCGAGCCUUCCAGCGGGAA
rnacentral:tRNA from 1 species